rnacentral:rRNA from 1 species
UACAGAGGGGGCAAGCGUUGUUCGGAAUUACUGGGCGUAAAGGGCACGUAGGCGGCCUGCUAAGUCGAACGUGAAAUCCCUGGGCUCAACCCAGGAACUGCGUCCGAUACUGGUUGGCUUGAAUCCGGGAGAGGGACGUGGAAUUCCAGGUGUAGCGGUGAAAUGCGUAGAUAUCUGGAGGAACACCGGUGGCGAAGGCGACGUCCUGGACCGGCAUUGACGCUGAGGCGCGAAAGCCAGGGGAGCAAACGGG